rnacentral:rRNA from 1 species
AGUGAACGCUGGCGGCGUGCCUAAUACAUGCAAGUCGAACGAGAACGGGGAUAGCUUGCUAUCUUGUCAGCUAAGUGGCGCACGGGUGAGUAAUGUAUAGCUAACAUGCCUUAUAGUGGGGGAUAACAGUUAGAAAUGGCUGCUAAUACCCUAUAUGACUUAGUAACGUGAGGUUAUUGAGGGAAAGAUUUAUUGCUAUGAGAUUGGGCUAUAUGAUAUCAGGUAGUUGGUGGGGUAAGAGCCUACCAAGCCGAUGACGUCUAACUGGUUUGAGAGGAUGAUCAGUCACACUGGAACUGAGACACGGUCCAG